CCUACGGGUGGCAGCAGUAGGGAAUCUUCCACAAUGGACGAAAGUCUGAUGGAGCAACGCCGCGUGAGUGAAGAAGGGUUUCGGCUCGUAAAGCUCUGUUGUUAGUGAAGAAAGAUAGAGGUAGUAACUGGCCUUUAUUUGACGGUACUUACUUAGAAAGUCACGGCUAACUACGUGCCAGCAGCCGCGGUAAUACGUAGGUGGCAAGCGUUGUCCGGAUGUAUUGGGCGUAAAGCGAGUGCAGGCGGGUCAAUAAGUAUGAUGUGAAAGUCGUCGGUUCAACCGGAGAAUUGAAUCAGAAACUGUUGAACUGGAGUGCAGAAGAGGAGAGUGGAACUCCAGGUGUAGCGGUGGAAUGCGUAGAUAUAUGGAAGAACACCAGUGGCGAAGGCGGCUUUCUGGUCUGCAACUGACGCUGAGGCUCGAAAGCAUGGGGAGCGAACAGGAUUAGAUACCCUUGUAGUC
rnacentral:rRNA from 1 species